UUCUCACCGUAACCUGGCAAAAAG
rnacentral:snRNA from 1 species